rnacentral:rRNA from 1 species
UGGGGAAUAUUGGACAAUGGGCGCAAGCCUGAUGCAGCCAUGCCGCGUGUGUGAAGAAGGCCUUCGGGUUGUAAAGCACUUUCAGCGGGGAGGAAGGCGAUAAGGUUAAUAACCUUGUCGAUUGACGUUACCCGCAGAAGAAGCACCGGCUAACUCCGUGCCAGCAGCCGCGGUAAUACGGAGGGUGCAAGCGUUAAUCGGAAUUACUGGGCGUAAAGCGCACGCAGGCGGUCUGUCAAGUCGGAUGUGAAAUCCCCGGGCUCAACCUGGGAACUGCAUUCGAAACUGGCAGGCUAGAGUCUUGUAGAGGGGGGUAGAAUUCCAGGUGUAGCGGUGAAAUGCGUAGAGAUCUGGAGGAAUACCGGUGGCGAAGGCGGCCCCCUGGACAAAGACUGACGCUCAGGUGCGAAAGCGUGGGGAGCAAACAGG